UGCAGCAAGCAGCAAGUUCUGUCCUGGUGACCUUUAGAAAGAGUCCUUUAAACAAGGGAGUGACCUUCCUUGCUUAUUUAGAAACUCUUCCAGUGGGAAUUUUACAUUGCUUUAUGCAACCCAAAUGUAGAGGUUAUAUUUAAAUGAUACAAAAUACUUUGCUACAAUUGGAUUCUAAACUCAGAAUUAUUGCCAUUUUUUACCUACGCAAAUUUCAAAAGAAAUUCUUUUCACCCCCUCCAUCACUUGUCACAGCAUGUAUGUUCAUCUUCCUUGGUGUCCAUCUCCUAAAUGCCGGUAAUCCCACCCAGUCUUGGUAUCAAGCAAAAAUAACCUUGUAACUUUUCAAAAUGGAUCCUUGGGAGUGGUGCCACCCUCUCUCUGUAGGAGCCCAUGGCCUAGAGGCAUUAAAAUUCCAAACUGAUUUUCUAAAGUGCCUACACAAACUUUGGGAAGUCAGGCUGUGGAAAGCAAGACCGUGGACUCAGCGAGCUACCAGGGGAUGUCAGGAAGUGAAGUAGCAGCUUGCAGUGUUCACCUGAGCAACACUGGCCGUUUGUGAUGGAGCCUUGCCCAGCCCCUCACCAACAGUGAGAGGUGGAGGGAUGGGAACAUAGGAGGGGCUGAGUGAGAUGCAAAAGUUUUGUUUUCCAUGUGAGGGCCGAUGUCUAUGAGGUCUGAGGAUAAGUAUCUUUUGCACACUUGACAACACAAUGAAGAGUGUCUGUAGGGGAUGGCAGGUUGAAGUGGGGAUCCCUGUGGCAAUUUUAGUCACUGGCAGGAUUAAGAAGAAGGAGAAACAGGCUUGGAGCAUCUUUGGCUUGCUUUGGAUGUGAAAGGGACUCAAAAAGAGGUCACAAGACAUCCGAGGUGAGGGAAAUGCAUGGGAAAGGAGUGGCCAGGGAAUGAGUGGGAAAAGAGAGGGUCUUUUGCAGCUGCAUGUGCAGUUUGGGGCAAGGACACAUGUUCUAACAGGCCUGGCUUCUGACAGCUUGCAGCAGUCUGUACCACACAGCAGCCCGGAGGGAGUUGAAGGAGCCACGCAGAGCAGCCUGGGAAAGAUGCAGCCUGCAACAAGGGGCCAGCACAUCCCAAAACCCUCAUCACACCAGUCAUCCAUUCAGUGAACAGUUUUUCAUUCACCGUCACCAUGAAGGACUCCUCCUGACCCCUGCCACCAUAUGAUGACAGAAGCCACACUUCAGCUCACUAAACUGGAGAUGAUCUGGGGUGACAGUGCAGGUGGAGGCUUGUGAGAAGAGCUCAGUGAGAAGGGGAAGUGUGAUCAUCUUUACUAAGACUGAAGUGUGAGUACACUUGUACCCUCCGUGCUGUCAUGACAGGGGAGGAGACAAGGCAAGGACAGUGCUGAGGAGACACGAUUUUGACAUGUUUCCUGGCAGCUUAACAUCAUCCAGCCGGAUGCAGACAAAAGCAGCUCACGUGCGGGUGUGGUCACUCACGCCUGUAACCCCAGCAUCCACAGGACAAGGCAAGGAGCUCCAUGGCUCCGUACUGAGUUCCCGGACAGCCUGGAGUAAGAAGUGAAACUCUGCUUUAAACAAACAAAAUUUCCCCAGCGGCAACUCAGUGGCUUCCCAUGGAAUGACACCGUGGAAUUCCUCUAGGAAAACUUGACUUCGGUUCUUCCGGCUAGUAUCCAGCUAGCUGAAACUUGUUUAAACUUCAGCUUUCUCUAGAUGGCACAACCAGGCCAGAAUUUGUCUAUUUAAUGUGCAUAUGGAUGAUUUAAAAACUCACCCUGAAGCUCACUUAUGAGCAUAGCUUUUGAAGAAAGUGCCCUGUGAUCCACGCAUUCCCAUUGGUCAUGAGUGAGUAGUAUAAACAAUUAAGAGGUAGAAAAUGUACAGAAAAUAAAAAUAUCCCUAGUGCCAUGAAGUCAGGGAAGGCAACCGCAGGGCCUAGCCUGUGUCACCCACACACGUGCUGCACAUUGGUUGGGUCACAAGCCUCCGGAGUGCGCUGUGAAGGAAACUAAAUCUUUUCCUAACCAUGGCUCCUCUGGACUGCUGGCUCCUCCUUUGCCCUCAGGGGCACCCACCCAUCUGACAAGCUUUCCCACCAGAGGGGUUUGCGUGCCAUGCUGGGCCCAGCUCAGCUCCCACAGCUAUAAAUAGACCCUUCUUGGAUCCUGGAAGGAUCCAGAGGCACCAGAAAUACAGCAGUAUGAGUUGGGAUGGCCAGGAAGUGGCGAAGGCCUCAGAUACAAGUUGACUUGAAGCCAAGACCUCACUUUUUUCUUUUUCCCCUCAAAAGGGAUUAGCAAUGGGUCCCUGGUGAUCUCUCCUCUCUUGCUGUCAUUUCAUGCCUACGGCCUCCUGUUUUCUCCUGCUUACCGGCAAGCUCGGUUUGAUUCUAGCCGUGGCUCUCUGUAGCAUUGUUCUCCUGGGUGCCUGUGGUUCAUGGAGUUGUUUUUGCCUAUGGUAUUCUACGUGGGUAUUUAAUAUAGAUUGCACAUAUAUAUGUAUAUAUGUAUGUAUAACACGUGUAGAAAAAUAAUAGAAAAUGAUGAACUUGCAAUAAUGACUAGAGAGUGUUUAUUGUAAAAACAAUGGAAAAUAAAGAAAAAGGAUCUAAAAUACGAAUAGAA